CCCCCUCCUCCUCGUAUUGUCCUAUGAUCAGAACCAACCCAACCCCUCCUCCUCCUCGUAUUGUCCUAUGAUCAGAACCAACCCAAUCCUGCAUGAUACCACUCUGCACUAAAUAUUUCAGAAAAUACUUUGUCAUUACCGUGUUGUUGCUUUCCUGAUAAAAUGUGGGGACUUAAAAUGUCACCGUGAGACUAGUGUGGUGCUCUUCUCUUCUAUAGCCUAUGGAUCCAUCAUACAGCAUGUAAACCCUGUUCAGUUUUCAUCCUAGUUUACUUUCACCCAUGGUGGUAUUGUUGUUGCUGGUGAUGACUCCCGGAGGUGCAGUUGGCUUUAGGUCAUCCUUUCACCCAUGGUGGUAUUGUUGUUGCUGGUGAUGACUCCCGGAGGUGCAGUUGGCUUUAGGUCAUCCUUUCACCCAUGGUGGUAUUGUUGUUGCUGGUGAUGACUCCCGGAGGUGCAGUUGGCUUUAGGUCAUCCUUGGAUCAGAAGAAAGAUUGACCUGAGCUUGUCUUUUUUUUUUUUUUUACAAAUACUAUUUGAACCCAGGUCUGCUUGGUUUAUCCAGACAGUACCAAAGCCUGGACCUAAUCCCUCACAGAGAAGAACCAUAUUACAAUCUAAUCUAUCUAUGAUACUGUUUAUUCAUAGUGGGAGUUUUUCCCUGUCAGAAUCUGUAAUGCCACUUCGGGAAUAGGAGUACAGUAUUACACUCAGUAUUACACUCAGCAGUACACUCAGUAGUAGUACACUCAGCAGUACACUCAGUAGUAGUACACUCAGCAGUACACUCAGUAGUAGAACACUCAGCAGUACACUCAGUAGUAGUACACUCAGUAGUAGUACACUCAGUAGUAGUUCACUCAGCAGUACACUCAGUAGUAGUUCACUCAGCAGUACACUCAGUAGUAGAACACUCAGCAGUAGUACACUCAGUAGUAGUACACUCAGUAGUAGUACACUCAGUAGUAGUACACUCAGUAGUAGUACACUCAGUAGCAGUACACUCAGUAGUAGUACACUCAGUAGUAGUACACUCAGUAGUAGUACACUCAGUAGUAGUACACUCAGUAGUAGUACACUCAGUAGUAGUUCACUCAGCAGUACACUCAGUAGUAGUUCACUCAGCAGUACACUCAGUAGUAGUACACUCAGUAGUACACUCAGCAGUACACUCAGUAGUAGUACACUCAGUAGUACACUCAGCAGUACACUCAGUAGUAGUUCACUCAGCAGUACACUCAGUAGUAGUACACUCAGUAGUACACUCAGCAGUACACUCAGUAGUAGUACACUCAGCAGUACACUCAGUAGUAGUACACUCAGUAGUAGUACACUCAGUAGUACACUCAGCAUACACUCAGUAGUAGUUCACUCAGCAGUACACUCAGUAGUAGUUCACUCAGCAGUACACUCAGUAGUAGUACACUCAGCAGUACACUCAGUAGUACACUCAGUAGUAGUACACUCAGCAUACACUCAGUAGUAGUUCACUCAGCAGUACACUCAGUAGUAGUACACUCAGCAGUACACUCAGCAGUAGUUCACUCAGCAGUACACUCAGUAGUAGUUCACUCAGCAGUACACUCAGUAGUAGUUCACUCAGCAGUACACUCAGUAGUAGUACACUCAGUAGUACACUCAGCAGUACACUCAGUAGUAGUACACUCAGUAGUAGUACACUCAGCAGUACACUCAGUAGUAGUACACUCAGUAGUACACUCAGCAGUACACUCAGUAGUAGUACACUCAGUAGUACACUCAGUAGUAGUACACUCAGCAGUACACUCAGUAGUAGUACACUCAGCAGUACACUCAGUAGUAGUAGUACACUCAGCAGUACACUCAGUAGUAGUUCACUCAGCAGUACACUCAGUAGUAGUACACUCAGCAGUACACUCAGUAGUAGUACACUCAGUAGUAGUACACUCAGCAGUACACUCAGUAGUAGUACACUCAGCAGUACACUCAGUAGUAGUACACUCAGCAGUACACUCAGUAGUACACUCAGCAGUACACUCAGUAGUAGUACACUCAGUAGUACACUCAGUAGUACACUCAGUAGUAGUAGUACACUCAGUAGUACACUCAGUAGUACACUCAGUAGUAGUAGUACACUCAGUAGUA
ensembl:lncRNA